rnacentral:lncRNA from 1 species
AGCAAUUAACGGUCUAACUGGCCCAGCCUCACAGGCCCGCGUCGCCCCGGUCCAGCGUUCCCCGGUUCCCCCCCACCUCCACCCGCCGGCGACGGCGCCCGCCGCGACCCGACGGUGCCCAGACGACUCCCCUCCGCCGCCGCCUAGGGAGGGGCUGCGACCAGCCGCGAACAGGUCUCGUCGUCGUACCCGCAUCGGUACGCCCUCUGUCCACUUUCACCGCCGCCCUCGGAGGUCAGGUCAAUCCCACUCUCGCCGUGCCGCUAGGUUCUCCGUGCCUUCAAAUCUCGAUCUAUUGUUUUUCUUGCCCCUAUGUUACAAUUAGCGGUGAAACGCAGCGAUUGUUUGGACCAAUCGAAUCGUGGAACAAAAUCUGACUAGUCAACCACUGAACCGAAUGCUCUUGCUCGCUGUAAGCCGUGUGUUGCAAUCGUACUGGCAUUUUCAACUGUCUUUUUUUCUUGUUCCCGUGAAAUGAAACAUUAUAAUGGUACCAUACAAAAAUUUUGAAGAAACCAUUAUUUUUCUCAACAUGAAUUUUUUUGAGUAAUUUUCUUAACGAUAACAUGUUUUACUAUACGGAUCCUGCCUUUUGACAAGGCUUUGGGUCGUUCAUUGCAGAAUUGGACUACCACUUGUGUGCCUUUAUUGAAUGGAAACUUCUAUUAGUGUAACUUGUAAGGUGUUACAUACUUCUGGCACCAUACUUAAUUUGGUAGGUAUAAGAAACACGCGAUGUAAUCACCAUGAGACCUUGCUGCAAACAUGCUUUUAAUAUCCAGUUCGUAUGUUUGGGUGUGUUAGGGGACCUUCCUGCUACUGUUAUUAAGAUUGUUUGUUAUUAUAGUGAAAAAGGGUAUAUUGUGCGCGGAGAAAAUUUUGAUGUAAUCAAGGCUUGAGAAUGAAAUGUGGUUGAAUGGAGCUGCUCCACAAUGUUGUUUUCAUUUCUUCAAUGUAAAACUAGUAUGGUCUCAAACUCUCAAUAUUAAUCUCUGGAAGAAGCAAUGGGAAGAAUGUGCUACAGUGCUAGAAUCAUCAUUUGAGAUGAGCCAUGGGAUUGUCCUAGUGACUAGCAUCCUUAUACUACUUGAGACUUGCACAACCAUGUAUAACUGGUACUGAAAAGGUUUUGGUCAUGUUGUAAGAUCAAUUUUCCAUUGAACCUUGGCUUCUUAAACUGCCAAGUUAACUUCUUAUAGACUGAAUUCGUGAAAAAAAGAAACCUCCUAUAGACUUAGGACACUAGUGCUCAAACUUCUAAACUCUAAGCUUGCAAGAAUGGGUCUUUUGUUUUUACUGUCAUUCGAUUCCUAAGAUUUUCUUUCUUACUGGGUGAAAUAUUCAACCGUACCAUGUUUAUUUCAGUGAAAAGAUCAUGUGCAGAACAGAUAUUGAGAAAGAAACAUAGAACUUGUUCUAAUUUAUGCUUAAACUAUGUUGGUGUUUUGUUUCCCAUGUCGAUUUCGAGGCUGAAAUAUACACUUCAGCUCAAAAUUUCAUUGUACUUCAGUGUUAUAUGCAUGGCUGGUUCGGAUCAGAUGAUUGACGAUAAGACCCUUACCCUCAUCUUACUGUUGUUUAGGCUCUGCCGUAGCCAUGGUGAAGUUCUGAGGCCAAGUGAUAACAGCUGCAAUAGGCUUCACUGCUUCAAGUAGACUCUUCUAAAAAUUAUGGAUAGAAUCACAUAGUAGUAACCAAACUAACCAAUAGAUGAGAUACCACAUACAACUAUUUUUAUCCUAGGAAAACAAUUUAUUUUAGGAAACUGAUAUUCUUGCUGGAGAGAUGAAGCCUUCAUAACAUCUGUGGCCCAUUGCUAGAGACGGUAUUAGCGGCCAUAACUUCCACAAUAUAGCUUUUGCUUCAGUAGGUAACCAUAUCUAAUUUCCAACACCAUUAUGUUGGUUCAUACAUAUAAUAAUCUUAAAAUAUGCUGGAGUAACACUAUGGAAGUGAACUGACAAAUGAAGAAGGAUCAGGAGGAGUGGGGACUGUGGGGACUGCAGCUGCUUCGUCAAGCAUUUGUGUCACUUUGAGCAUUGUAGGUCUCAUUGUUGGGUCCUCCUGGAGGCACCACAAUGCCACUGCCACAAACCUUUCCACCUUCAUCAAAUUGAGAAUUGCUUCAUCAUCACCCUCCACCAGAAAAUCAACCCUGCCGCACCUAUAACAGUCAUUUGCCCAGUCAGUCAGUAUUUUUUGAUCUUCUUCAGCCUCCAACUCAACAUUCCGCCGGCAACAGAUGAGCUCCAACAGGAUGACCCCAAAACUGUAAACAUCCACCUUGGCAGUGAUGCCAAUGCUCUUGAACCACUCAGGGGCUACGUAUCCUCGGGUGCCCCGGAUACCUGUAUUUGUUUGUGUCUGGUUUGUUCGGAGAAGUUUGGCUAAGCCAAAGUCUGAGAUCUUUGCUGUGAAGUUGCCAUCGAGAAGGAUGUUCUGGGGCUUUAUGUCACAAUGGAUAAUCUGUGUGCUGCAUUCCUCAUGUAAGUAUAGCAGCCCCCUUGCCACUCCAAGAGCAAGCUGAGCUCGAAGGUUCCACUCAAGCCUGACAUCACCAAAUAGGAAUUGAUUGAGUGAUCCAUUGGUCAUGAAUUCAUACACCAAUAGUCUUUCUUUUCCUUCAUUGCAGAAUCCUAGCAACCUAACCAAGUUCUUGUGGUGCGUCCGUCCAAUUGUCUGGACUUCAACGGUGAACUCUUUCUCUGUUUCAUGCUCAAGCUUGUCAAUUUUCUUAACCGCAAUGUAAGUGCCGAGAUCAUCUUGUAACUGGCCCUUGUACACAAUACCAGAGGCACCAGUGCCGAGUACCUCCUGGAAUCCGCUGGUUGCCUUCUCAAGCUCAGCAUAAGCGAAGGCUUUCAAGGGCAAUCCUAUAUUGUUUGAUGACUGCAGAGAUGGGAUUUCCUUUACGGUGAUAGUACAAUAAGUACCAAAAAGUAUAACAGAGGUCAGCAGAAUGUUAACUAGGACAGAGCUUCCCAAAAACAACGAACUUCCAAGGAUCCAGUUCUUCUUGUCUUCCUUCCAUUUGUUGGAACCAACAAGCUCAGCUUGUGUACUGUUGUUCUUCCGUACCUUGACGAAAAGUGUCCUCUCCACAUUAUCUCCCAUCUUGCCAUUUGACAAAGGCAUCUUCUUCUUCCAACAUGUAUUAUCUUGGUCAUGGAAGACAGCAACGGCACAGAAACAAUCUGUCAGACAGAGUUGCUGGCACUGAUCCUUAGUUAUGGGGCUGUACUCCUCAUAGUCAGCUAGAGGCCAAUCCACACUGUUCAUCGGUAUCAACUUAAACUGCAUACUGGCAGCUGCUUCAUCCAAGUCACAACUUUGUGGCUGGAAGUCAGGUUUGCAGCCUUUAUACUUCCUCUCCUCAUCAAUAAACGAAUACUGCUCUGGGCACAGGCAAAUACUCUGGUUGUUUCUGCCAUUGAAUGUGCAGUAACUGUUAAACCCACAAAUGCCGCUUCCAUCAUUUGUCAGUUGUGCGUCACAGAUAUUUGGGGGCUUGAAGUCCACUACUGACCAUGCUUGACUACUCAGGUUGCUGACCUUCUUCGGGCACCGAUAUUGCCUGAACACACCAUCUGGGUCAAGUGUAGCACGAUGAUAGUAGUCUAACAUGGAACCGGUGACCCCAGAUGUCACACUGAUCUGUGUUCCGUUAUCCAAGGUGAUGUAUACCAUGCCAGUCGCAUUGAACACCAGCUUUGUGGUGUUCCCAGCCAUGGACCAGUAGUAGUCAUACAUCUUACCGGAGGGUACAGCAACGGUAUAAAGAAAAACACCAAUACUUUGCAGGUCAAGGAGGAACCGGCCAUUGGAGUAGUCUGUGGGGAUGAUUCGGCUGCGGAGCUUCAUUCCUGGAGUGAGCACCUGAGUAGGCAGGAUGGUAUCUGCUGGGUUAUUGAAGGUCCCCCACUUGGUAGAGCCAUCUGCAGCAGCCAGUACGAAGUUUCCGGUAUUGAGCAUGGCAGCGUAUACUGCACCCACAACUCUCGGAUUCCAUACCUCUGUUCCAGUGGGAUCCUGGAGCGAGAGCGCCCCAUUUGAGUUGAGCAGGAGCUGGGAACCGGAUGAAACAUGUACCAGCACUGGAUCUGGAUCAUUGGUCUUGGCAUACCAAACCACCGUCUUAUCACUGGUCUUGUCGAACCAGACAGCAAGCAGAUAGGAGGAGGUGUUACCCUCGAUGGGCCGGAAGCCGAACGCGAAGUCGCCAGACGGCGAGAGCCAAAAGCUGCUAGGCCCUUCAGGUGUCAAGGAGGAGCCUAAGGUUAUGUUCUGUUGAGCUUGAAGGGAAGUAGAGGACAGCAGCAGGAGCAAGGACAAGAGGAGGAGAGGUGCCAUGGUUCGUUUGAUUUGGCUCUCAGUUCUUACAUCUGACGGCAAACUUAUGCAUCUCUUGGUUUUCGGAGUCUUCGUUGACUUGGCUUGACAAUCGAUGGGUCAUCGGAACCAUCAUGUGGUGUAACAGUAGGCAGCUUUGAACUGGUCAAUCAUGGCAGUUGGCUGCUCCACGAGCAUGGGUCCUUGUCUGUGUGACUACUCUUUGCUAGACUUAUAGUGACUACAUUAUUGAAGUUUGAAAGUGUUCCAACGUGUUGGAAGUGUUCCAAGGUGCUCCUCUUCUGAGCCAAACUUUUCACAUGCCUGCAAGUUCUACAGAAGAGAAGACAUAUAUUUCGUAGGGUUGUACUGACGGUUGCGUGAAGGCAGGUCCCAAGUUCUUCUCUCGCCUAGAUACUUCCAGUUAUUCGUAAGUUUUUCAGAAGUAUAGUCAUGGUCACUACUUACUACCAGUCAAGCCAGCUGAAUUUAGUACGAGAUUAUACAUGUGGGAUCAUGCUACGUGCCUUAUUUCACUUAGACUGGUGAUCAGAUUGGAACAAGGAGGUUGAAAUUAUUCAAGAGGAAUGUUUGGUUACUUUUGGCCAGUUUCCUGGAUAUUUUUAUUAUGUGUUUCAUUGCGACAAAAGUUUAUUGGACGUUUCCGUGAAUUAGCUGUUUUGUGAAUUUUCUGUAGAACAUAAUAAGACAUUUAUUGAAGACUGAUAGUUUUCAUUGUUGUUUAUGAGCAGGAAUAAAUGGAGUCCACAAUUACUUGUCAGACAUUGACUGGGACGUUCAUUUUUCAUGGUUCUUGUGAUCUAGCUGGCCGGCCGGCCCGGCAGGAUUAACGCGCUGGCAGCUGAAAGGAACUUGUACCAGCACCCCGCGUUGCCUAGUCAACACGUUGUACCAUCAGAAGAGUGGUUUUCAGUGGUUCUGCUUCUGCCAACAGCGGCUGAAUGAAGCCUAUCCUAAUCUUAGGCUAUGGAGUCUGUUUAGCUCAGUUGUGGAUAUUGGUGUAUGUUAAAGCUACCUGAAUUUUAGUCGUCUUCGAUGCAAAUUUGGGUACACGUUUUUACCAAAAUGUAGCUACAGAUAUAGUAUGUGUUCGAUUUUUUUCAUUCUAGCUUUGGUUGGUUGUGGUUCCUCGUCAUCCUACAUUUGUUGCUCAUCUCUAUUUUUCGUCAAACCUCGGGUUGAUCGUAGUUCCUCUUCUAGGCGCUUCAUUUUUUUUUUUUUGGCUAACCAUGUGGUGAUGAUGACGUGGAUUCGCCUGGAGAAAUGUUUUAUCUUUUUUUGAAUGCUGAUGGUGGAUCCUCCGAGACUUCAAAUUGCACCUCAAUCUGAAAUGGAGAUUUCGACAGCCCCGAUUGCAUGUGACAUGUCUUCCACUAAAAAAGUGGACUUGCAUUUGGCCGAGUUUUUUCCACGUGGCUCGCUGGCAUGAAGGAACAAGUGAGCGGAAAGUACUAGAAGAAGGCAUUAUUUGAUUGUUCAUCUGGCUGCUGAAAAAAAAUUGAAGUGACACUGACAGGUGGGUCCCGUAGACACAUCCCCAGGGGGAAAAAGGGGAGAGAAAAUCCCACCGCAGGGC